rnacentral:rRNA from 1 species
AACAGAGGGUGCAAACGUUGUUCGGAAUUACUGGGCGUAAAGCGCGUGUAGGCGGCACGGCAAGUCGGAUGUGAAAGCCCGCGGCUCAACCGUGGAAGUGCACUCGAAACUGCCGAGCUAGAGUCUCGGAGAGGAAGGUGGAAUGCUUGGUGUAGAGGUGAAAUUCGUAGAUAUCAAGCAGAACACCUGUGGCGAAGGCGGCCUUCUGGACGAUGACUGACGCUGAGACGCGAAAGCGUGGGGAGCAAACAGG